GUGGGGAAUCUUAGACAAUGGGCGCAAGCCUGAUCUAGCCAUGCCGCGUGAUCGAUGAAGGCCUUAGGGUUGUAAAGAUCUUUCAGUGGGGAAGAUAAUGACUGUAACCACAGAAGAAGCCCCGGCUAACUCCGUGCCAGCAGCCGCGGUAAUACGGAGGGGGCUAGCGUUGUUCGGAAUUACUGGGCGUAAAGCGCACGUAGGCGGAACAGAAAGUCAGAGGUGAAAUCCCAGGGCUCAACCUUGGAACUGCCUUUGAAACUCCUGUUCUUGAGUUCGAGAGAGGUGAGUGGAAUUCCGAGUGUAGAGGUGAAAUUCGUAGAUAUUCGGAGGAACACCAGUGGCGAAGGCGGCUCACUGGCUCGAUACUGACGCUGAGGUGCGAAAGCGUGGGGAGCAAACAGGAUUAGAAACCCGUGUAGUCC
rnacentral:rRNA from 1 species